UGAAACAAAACAAAACAAAACCCAAUCCCAAUCUGUGCAUUGAGUAUGGUAUGUUAUUUUGUUUUAUUUCAUUUUGUUUUGUUUUGUUUUAUCGCAUCGCAUCGCGACGUAUCAAAACGUAGCAGGAACACCAGAACCGGACGAGCAUCGCAAGGGAAGCGAAGAUUCCGAAAUUCUUUUUUUUU
rnacentral:ribozyme from 1 species